rnacentral:lncRNA from 1 species
CUGCCAGUGGAGCAUGUAUGCAGCAGAUGCCAAAGACACCUUGGAAACUUCCAAAAGGACUGGAAACAGCAAUUACUAUGAGACCUUCUCUUUGCUACUGCCAGGGUUGGCAUCACAAGCAGCUAUUGUGCCUGCCAAGGGGCUCAGGUGGCCUGCUGAAGAUAGAUGGCACAGAUUUCACAGCUUGUUCAGUCCCCAGCCAGAAUGCUGGGAGAGGCUGCCUCACACCUCCUUGUGCUUUCUACCAACUAAUCUUCGUAAAUCAAGCAAAUAUAGUAAAACCUACGAAGAAUCAGAAGUUGACUUUUUUGAGGGGAGAUGCCAUCUGUGUGACUGCUGAAUCCUCAAAAAGUAACAAGGGAAGCAACCGACUUUCUGAUGUGUCGAUAUCCACUUUUGGUAACUGUUUCAAUCGUGACAUAUUACCUGGAUUAGCAAAAGUAAAAGAAAAGCAUAAUAUUUGAAAAUUACCUAAAUUAUCCAAGAAAAACCUAAAUUAAAGGAAAAAACUAAUAGAAGAC